rnacentral:lncRNA from 1 species
UGGCAUGGGGAAGUUCCCAGGCCUAGAAUCAAAUCUGAGCCACAGCAGUGACCUGAGCCGCUGCAGUGACAAUGCCAGCUCCUUAACCCAUUGAGUUACCAGGGAACUCCCAAGGGUGUCCUUUCAGCUAGGGACUUUGGUGGCUUUUCAUAGAUGCCAUCAUGCUUUCAAAUAUAAAAGACUGGAAGGGUCCCUCUAACAAAGGGCUGGUUUGUAAGUAACAUGUUAUACAUAACAUCAGAUUGGGGACAGUGUCACUCAGAGGACAGGUGGGGUACUGGGCUCCUGCAUUUUCACGAACAUCCAUAAUUCUUAAAACCUUCCUAAAGUGGUGGAGCCUGAACCCUCUUACACUGUUGGUGGGAAUAUAAAUUGGUACAACCACUAUGGAAAACAGUAUGGAGGUUCCUCAUAAACUGAACAUAGAACUACCAUAUGAUCCAGCAAUCCCACUCCUGGGCAUCUAUCCAGACAAAACUAUAAUUCAAAAAGAUACGCACACCCCUUGGUUCACUGCAGUACUAUUCACAACAGCCAAGACACGGAAACAACCUAAAUGUCCAUCAACAGAUUAAGACAAUAUGGUACAUAUACACAAUGGAAUACUACUCAGCCAUAAAAAAUAAUGAAAUUAUGGCAUUUGCAGCAACAUGGAUGCAACUAGAGAUUCUCAUACUAAGGGAAGUAAGUCAGAAAGAGAAAGACAAAUACCAAUUGAUAUCACUUAUCUGUGGAAUCUAAAAUAUGGCACAAAUGAACUAUCUACAAAACAGAAACAAACUCACAGACAGGGAGAACGGACUUGUGGUUGCCAAGGGUGAUGGGGGAGGGAGUGGGAUGGAUGGAGAGUUUGGGGUUAGUAGAUGCAAACUAUUACAUUUAGAAUGGAUAAGCAAUGAGGUCCUGCUCUAACAGUGCAAGGAACUAUGUCCAGUUCCUUGAGACAGAACAUGAUGGAAGAUAACAUGAGAAAAAAAAUGUAUAUAUAUGUAUGACUGGGUCACUUUGCUGUACAGCAGAAAUUGGCACAACAUUGUAAAUCAACUAUACUUUAAUUUUUAAAAAGUUGAAAAAAAAGUGGCAGGGCCCAGAUUCUAACUCAGUUCUGGAGCUCUUCAGGUGGGCGUCACUUUCAGGACAUCCUGUGGGGAUGUUGGGGAGGCUAGGAAGCCACGUGGUGCCCUGCCUUGGGGACCAGCCUGGCUCCAGAGAUGCUCAGUAAAGAUCUCCCAGUAACCAGCCUAUGACCACCUGAGACGUGACAUUGAGUGAAGGAAGCCAGAAAGAAGGUGGGCUGCCCAACAUCCUAGCUUGGUAAAGAAGGCAUUUAGGGAUGCCCUGUGGUCAAGUUCAAGAGAAAGGCAAGGAAGCGAUGGCUGUGAAUAUCUGGCUAGUGUUUUACUGGCAGAGGGCAGGGCUGCAGGGGAGGAUUCAAGGUUGGGGGUGGCUCCAGGGAAUUGCAAUGCUCCAUUUCCUGCCCCAGGAGAGACUUCAUGAAUGUUGGCUUUGUGAUAAGUCACUGAGCUGUGUGUCUGCUUUGUGCCCUUUUCUGUAUCCAUGUUAAGUUUCACAAUACAAUAGAUUUUAAAAAGAGAAAGAAAUGCUCAGUGGGUGAAACAUGUCAUUCUGCAAAGAAGAGACCUGUCUCCUGGAGUGCUCCUAGUCAGAGUGGGCAGUUCCCGUGGAGCCAAAGAAUCUUCUACUAUCUUUUCCGUUUUUUUUUUUUUUUUUUUUUUGGCUGCACCCUCAGCAUGCAGAGGUUCCCAGGCCAGGGAUCAAAUCUGCACCACAGCAGCAACCCGAGCUACUGCAGUGUCAAUGCCAGAUCCUUAGCCCGCUGAGCCACAAGAGAACUCCAAAAGAAGUAAUUUCAAACGUCAAGAAAAGUUGAAAAAUCAUACAAAAAUUUCUAAUAUCCUUCACUCAGAUUCCUUAAAAUGCUAAUAUUUUGCCACAUUUUCUUUCUCUCCCUCUCCAUUCCCCAUUUCUCUCACUCUCUAAAUAUAUAUAUCCAUCUAUCCUUUAUCUAUCAUCUUCAUCAUUUAUCUACAUCUCUCAAAAUUUAUUUAUUUUUUCUUUUUGUAGUUGGACCCACGGCCUAUGGAACUUCCUGGGCUAGGGGUUGAAUCAGAGCUGCAGCUGCCAGCCUACGCCACAGCCACAGUAACGCCAGAUGUGAGCAGCAUCUGCUACCUACACCACAGCUCAUCGCAACGCCUGAUCCUUAACACACUGAGCGAGGCCAGGGAUCGAACUCGCAUCCUCAUGGAUCCUAGCUGGGUUUGUAACCCGCUGAGCCACAAUAGGAACUCCUCGAAAUUUAUUUUUUUCUAAAAUGUUUCACGGUAAGUUGCGGAUAGGAUGACCUUUCAUCUCUAAAUACCUCAGUAAGGGUUUAAAGGCAAGGGCAUUCUUUGACAAAGUUACAGUGCAAGGAUCAACACUAGGAAAUUGUGGGGAGCGGUGUGGGGGCACCCAGGGAUGCAAAGAGGGUGGUGUAUGCAGACAUCUUUGCAGUGUUUCUGUACAGAGCAGGCACCCCCAGCCAUCUAAUGGGCCUGGGCUAAGUAGAACUUGACCUGGAAAGCACAGGGAGCCCUGCAGACUUUCGGGCUGGGCGGCCAGGGGGCACCUUAGCCUGUGUCUCUUGAGGUCUGCAGGAGGCCCAGGCCUGGAGUGAGGAACCUGAUGGCUGAGGGCCCUCCAUCCACGGGACAACCUGGUCGUCUUGCUCAGUGAGAAGUUCAGUAAGAACAGAAUGUACUCAAGGAGCCCAAAGAACAGGGAGUGGAAAGGCAGGGAAGGAGUGGAAAAAAAUGAAUGAGAGUAGGCGUCUGGCACGGGCAGGCUUGUUUUGUAACCUGCGAUGACGUCUCCUGAAGGCAGAGUCACCAUUCUUUUCAGACAACCUGCUUUUUCUGUGUCCACCUCAGCACCACGCUCCUGCUCUAACUGCCUGGGGCUGUCCUCCCACCAUGCUCCCCAGUGCCGAGCCUGUAAACUUGGAGUUACUCCAAUCAGGGUUCAAAUCCUACCAUGGCUGCUGUGGAGCUUGUGCACAUUGCUUGAUGUCUCUGAGCCUCAGUUCCACUUCUCUAAAGCCUGAAGGGCAGUCCAUCCCUUGCAGAUUGUGGUGGAGAUUAGAUGGAAAGGUGAGUGCCUAGGUCUCGGUCACCUGGACACUCUAGCCAGCAUGCCUGGCACUUAGUAGGCAUUUGUGGAAGCUGUGAAGGAGGUAAACCCAUAAGAGU